UACAGAGAGUGCGAACGUUGUUCGGAAUUACUGGGCUUAAAGCGCACGUAGGCGGCAUCGUAAGUGUCCGGUGAAAUCCCACGGCUCACCCGUGGAACUGCCUGGCAGACUGCGAUGCUCGAGUGUGGUAGGGGAGAGCGGAACUCCUGGUGGAGCGGUGAAAUGCGUAGAUAUCGGAAGGAACAUCAGUGGCGAAAGCGACUUCCUGGACCAGUACCGACGUUCAGGCACGAAAGCGUGGGGAGCAAACAGG
rnacentral:rRNA from 1 species